rnacentral:rRNA from 2 species
UACGAAGGGUGCAAGCGUUACUCGGAAUUACUGGGCGUAAAGCGUGCGUAGGUGGUUUGUUAAGUCUGAUGUGAAAGCCCUGGGCUCAACCUGGGAACGGCAUUGGAUACUGGCUUACUAGAGUGCGGUAGAGGGUAGUGGAAUUCCCGGUGUAGCAGUGAAAUGCGUAGAUAUCGGGAGGAACAUCUGUGGCGAAGGCGACUACCUGGACCAGCACUGACACUGAGGCACGAAAGCGUGGGGAGCAAACAGG